AAUCUUGGACAAGGGGGGCAAACCUGAUCCAGCCAUCUCGCGCGUGCGAUGAAGGCCUUCGGGUUGUAAAGCACUUUUGGCAGGGGAGAAAAGGCGCCGCUAAAUAUCUGGUGCCGAAGACGGGACGUGCAGAAGAAGCACCGGCUAACUACGUGCUAGCCGCCGCGGUAAAACGUAGGGUGCAAGCGUUAAUCGGAAUUAGUGGGAGUAAAACGUGCGUAGGCGGUUUGGCAAGAAGGAUGUGAAAUACCAGGGCUUAACCUUGGAACAGAAUUUUUAACUGCCCGGCUAGAGUAUGUCAGAGGGGGGUAGAAUUCCACGUGUAGCAGUGAAAUGCGUAGAGAUGUGGAGGAAUACCGAUGGCGAAGGCAGCCCCCUGGGAUAAUACUGACGCUCAGGCACGAAAGCGUGGGGAGCAAACAG
rnacentral:rRNA from 1 species